UACGUAGGGGCAAGCGUUGUCCGGAAUCAUUGGGCGUAAAGAGCGUGUAGGCGGCUCGAUAAGUCCGCUGUGAAAGUCCAGGGCUCAACCCUGGAAGGCCGGUGGAAACUGUCGGGCUAGAGUCCGGAAGAGGCGAGUGGAAUUCCCGGUGUAGCGGUGAAAUGCGCAGAUAUCGGGAGGAACACCAAUGGCGAAGGCAGCUCGCUGGGACGGUACUGACGCUGAGACGCGAAAGCGUGGGGAG
rnacentral:rRNA from 1 species